CUUGUAGACAUAAUAAAUAAGGAGUCGGACCUGCCCGGUGAGAAAUUUUCUUUAACGGCCGCGGUACUCUGACCGUGCAAAGGUAGCAUAAUCAUUUGCCUUAUAAUUGAAGGCUAGUAUGAAUGGUUUGACAAGAAUGUAGCUGUCUCUUUAUUGAUUUAGUAGAAUUUUAUUUUUAGGUGAAAAAGCCUAGACUUUAUUAAAAGACAAGAAGACCCUAUCGAGCUUUAAAAAAUUUAGUGGAUAAUUAACUGUAACCUAUAGACAAAUAAAAGGUGAUGCUGUUAAAUAUUUUGGUUGGGGCGACUGAGGAACAAAAGAAGCUUCCUUCGAACGAUUUUACGUACUGGUUUUGAUCCAAGUUUGUUGAUUAAGGGAAUUAGUUACCGUAGGGAUAACAGCAUUAUCUUCCUUGAGAGUUCAUAUCGAAAGGGGGGUUUGUGACCUCGAUGUUGGACCAGAAUGUCCUAAAGAUGCAGAAGUCUUUAAGGGUUGGUCUGUUCGACCAUUAAAAUUCUA
rnacentral:rRNA from 1 species